CCUAGCCCUUCAGAGGGGGACAACAGUUGGAAACGACUGCUAAUACCGCAUACGAUCCGACCUCGGCAUCGAGGAUGGAUGAAAGGUGGCCUCUAUUUAUAAGCUAUCACUGAAGGAGGGGAUUGCGUCUGAUUAGCUAGUUGGAGGGGUAACGGCCCACCAAGGCAAUGAUCAGUAGCCGGUCUGAGAGGAUGAACGGCCACAUUGGGACUGAGACACGGCCCAG
rnacentral:rRNA from 1 species